CCUAACCGGUAGAGUGCAUUUGAAACUGUAUAUCUUGAGUGCAGCAGAGGAGAACGGAAUUCCUGGAGUAGCGGUGGAAUGCGUAGAUAUCAGGAAGAACACCAGUGGCGAAAGCGGUUCUCUGGGCUGUAACUGACGCUGAGGUACGAAAGCUGGGGCAGCGAACGGGAUUAGAUACCCCGGUAGUCCCAGCCGUAAACGAUGGACACUAGGUGUUGGGGGUUCGAUUCCCUCAGUGCCGCAGUUAACGCAUUAAGUGUCCCGCCUGGGGAUUACGGUCGCAAGACUGAAACUCAAAGGAAUUGACGGGGGCCCGCACAAGCGGUGGAGCAUGUGGUUUAAUUCGAUGCAACGCGAAGAACCUUACCGAGGUUUGACAUCCUGUGACUACCUGUGAAAGCAGGUUCUUGGACUAUGUCCGACAC
rnacentral:rRNA from 1 species